GACGAACGCUGGCGGCGUGCUUAACACAUGCAAGUCGAACGAUGAAGCCGAGAAACGCUUCCUUAGGUUCAAAUUUCACUUCGGAUUAGUGGCAGACGGGUGAGUAACGCGUUUGCAACCUACCUCUUACAAAGGGAUAGCCUCGGGAAACCGAGAUUAAUACCAUAUGACACAUUCAUAACUCAUCUUAAGAAUGUUAAAGCUACGGCGGUAAGAGAUGGGCUCGCGUCCCAUUAGCUAGGUGGUGAGGUCACGGCGCAGCAAGGGGACGAUGGGUAACAGGGGGGGGAGGGUGAACGUUCAAAUUGGAACUGAGACACGGUCCAAACUGAGGCGGGAGGGAGGAGUAGGGAAUAAUGCACAAUAGAGGGAUGUCGGAAGGAGCGGUGGGGGGUGAGGGAUUAAGGAUUGCGUUUCGCAAAGGUCUGUUCUAUGGGAAGAAAAGGACUGUACCAUAAGAGAAAGCCCCGGCUAAAUACGUG
rnacentral:rRNA from 1 species